UGCUUCCUCCCCACCCCACCCCAGAUAACCUACAAAGCCAGAAUCACAUGCCCAGCGGGCAGGGGAUGAGGUGGCUGUGGUGUCUUGUGUGCCAAACAAGAUCUGGGAAGAGUCCUGAACCACCAGCAGGAAACAAAAGACUAAUGGAAAUGGGUCACUUUUUUACUGAAAAGUUUCUCCAUUCAGAACCACAUUGGAAAGGUCAGUUCCUGCUGAAAACUUGCUCAGAAACGCACUUCCACCUGGCCUUUGCUUACCCUCGGCUGUGUGACAUGCUCAACACAAAGAGCUCCUGCGUUCCUCUGUGACAAACCUCAUGGAGAAACCAGGAACCCCAAACCCAGGCCAUUUCUCCCUUGCAGUGGCCUGAGGAGCAGGUGGCUUGCUUGCAUUUACACUUGAUGGAAACAGAUGUAGUCAGCCGAGUCGCAUAUGUUUAGCACACUUUGAGGUGCGUUGGCA